GCUCUAGCCUCCAGAGAUCUGCUCCCUAGACUUUCCCCACCUCUUUCCCCUGGGCCAAAGGAGAAGGAGUCAUGGCGGGAAGCACCAGAGGCUGAGAGGGUGGAUCUGACUCCUUUUGGAGACCCAGUAGGAAAGUCCUCCCUGUCAUCUGUUGUAGCCGGGGAGCAGGCGGCCACGUUCUGGGACCUAAGCUCAUUCAUUGCUCAGUUCCCCAGGUCCUGAAUCCAGCCUCACAUCCCACGCCACACAGGCUGUGGCACAAAAGGGACAAACACCCUCAAGACCUAGGCCAGAUAAUUAUCAAGCAAAUUCCCUUCAAUUUCCUGCCUUCACCCCCACCCCCACCCUCGGGCACUGCCUGCUGCGCGUUCCCUGAUUCGGCCCCGGCUGUGCAAUCAACGCCAGGUAACCUGCGGGGCCCUGUAAUUGCUCUGGAGUUGCCUGGGACUUUGCGAGAACCGUACUCAUGUCUACCUGGCACCCAAAUUAGCGGCAUUAAGAGUUUGGCUUUGCAGAUGGAGAAAACUGAACUCAAGACUUGUUUGCUGGACAGUCCUGAGUGAAUCAUCUCUUCUCUUCCUCAGUGUGACAGAAUGAGAGUUUCUCGUCCGGCUGGUGUGGAGAUGAGGAAAACUUGCAGGACUUGUGAACGACAGCGGAAGCUGCAAAGUGUGGUGGAGAUCUCUGUCCUGCUGUUUAAGAAGUGGGCCUCCGAGGGUCUGAGCCUAGCCACCUAGAGGAGAGUGGUCUGGCCAUCAUAGAGUUCCUCAUGCCACAUCUCAUGAGCACUUACCUUCUCGUACAUAAAUAUCGGGCAGUGGAAUCGGAGCAUGUGUCCCCUGACUGGAAGCAGUGACAACCACGGCAGCAGGUUUAUUUUUAAAUAAAGAUUGGAAAGUUACAAGGCUCCUGAGGUUUUCUGCAUUUUUAUUUUUCAU
rnacentral:lncRNA from 1 species